rnacentral:rRNA from 1 species
UUAAAUUGAAGAGUUUGAUCAUGGCUCAGAUUGAACGCUGGCGGCAGGCCUAACACAUGCAAGUCGAACGGUAACAGGAAGCAGCUUGCUGCUUUGCUGACGAGUGGCGGACGGGUGAGUAAUGUCUGGGAAACUGCCUGAUGGAGGGGGAUAACUACUGGAAACGGUAGCUAAUACCGCAUAACGUCGCAAGACCAAAGAGGGGGACCUUCGGGCCUCUUGCCAUCGGAUGUGCCCAGAUGGGAUUAGCUAGUAGGUGGGGUAACGGCUCACCUAGGCGACGAUCCCUAGCUGGUCUGAGAGGAUGACCAGCCACACUGGAACUGAGACACGGUCCAGACUCCUACGGGAGGCAGCAGUGGGGAAUAUUGCACAAUGGGCGCAAGCCUGAUGCAGCCAUGCCGCGUGUAUGAAGAAGGCCUUCGGGUUGUAAAGUACUUUCAGCGGGGAGGAAGGCGAUAAGGUUAAUAACCUUGUCGAUUGACGUUACCCGCAGAAGAAGCACCGGCUAACUCCGUGCCAGCAGCCGCGGUAAUACGGAGGGUGCAAGCGUUAAUCGGAAUUACUGGGCGUAAAGCGCACGCAGGCGGUCUGUCAAGUCGGAUGUGAAAUCCCCGGGCUCAACCUGGGAACUGCAUUCGAAACUGGCAGGCUAGAGUCUUGUAGAGGGGGGUAGAAUUCCAGGUGUAGCGGUGAAAUGCGUAGAGAUCUGGAGGAAUACCGGUGGCGAAGGCGGCCCCCUGGACAAAGACUGACGCUCAGGUGCGAAAGCGUGGGGAGCAAACAGGAUUAGAUACCCUGGUAGUCCACGCCGUAAACGAUGUCGACUUGGAGGUUGUGCCCUUGAGGCGUGGCUUCCGGAGCUAACGCGUUAAGUCGACCGCCUGGGGAGUACGGCCGCAAGGUUAAAACUCAAAUGAAUUGACGGGGGCCCGCACAAGCGGUGGAGCAUGUGGUUUAAUUCGAUGCAACGCGAAGAACCUUACCUACUCUUGACAUCCAGAGAACUUUCCAGAGAUGGAUUGGUGCCUUCGGGAACUCUGAGACAGGUGCUGCAUGGCUGUCGUCAGCUCGUGUUGUGAAAUGUUGGGUUAAGUCCCGCAACGAGCGCAACCCUUAUCCUUUGUUGCCAGCGGUCCGGCCGGGAACUCAAAGGAGACUGCCAGUGAUAAACUGGAGGAAGGUGGGGAUGACGUCAAGUCAUCAUGGCCCUUACGAGUAGGGCUACACACGUGCUACAAUGGCGCAUACAAAGAGAAGCGACCUCGCGAGAGCAAGCGGACCUCAUAAAGUGCGUCGUAGUCCGGAUUGGAGUCUGCAACUCGACUCCAUGAAGUCGGAAUCGCUAGUAAUCGUGGAUCAGAAUGCCACGGUGAAUACGUUCCCGGGCCUUGUACACACCGCCCGUCACACCAUGGGAGUGGGUUGCAAAAGAAGUAGGUAGCUUAACCUUCGGGAGGGCGCUUACCACUUUGUGAUUCAUGACUGGGGUGAAGUCGUAACAAGGUAACCGUAGGGGAACCUGCGGUUGGAUCACCUCCUUACCU